AGGUAUCAUUAACUUUACUAUUCAUAUUUCAUCAAGCUCUUUCAAUUUUGAGGGUAUUCAUUUAUUCUUUCAAUUAUUUAUAAUUUGAAGUUAUAUGAAAAAAAAAAUUAAUUGAUGAUACUUUCAAUAUUUUAAAAUUUCUAAAAAAAUAAUUAGUUUUUAUCACCGACUUAAAAAAGUUUAGAAAAUAAUGUAACUUUUUAAAGAAAAAAAUUACUGGAAGAAUGAAACUUGACGAAAGAAGAAGAAAAAAAAAGAAAUGGGAAGGGACACAGCUUGACGAGGGUGUGGGGGGGAUGAUGGAAGGUGAAGUGAAAUGUAAGAUAAUAUUAAAAUAAAUAAUUAAAAAUAAAAUAAGCAAAGGUAACAGAGAGAAAAAAAAAGGUAAAGAAAAAAUUAAAAUGAAAAAGAAUUCUAUUUUAAAAUAAAUUAACACGUGACACAUAAUGAUUUGUGUGUAAAAUACUUGGUUUUUAAUAUCUGAGAUUGAUCAAAAAAUAAUGUAAAUAUUUCACGUUAAAAUUGUUUAGGGGGUAAUAGGAUGACUGCAUAGUUGCUGUGUCUUUUUGAAAAUUCGGAACAACUUGUCUUUCCUCUUUAAGGAGAUGUAGAGAUAAUGUGCUUGUUUUUAAACAGAGCAAAAGUCAACCCAAUCAACAUCACUCAUGUGUCAUCUUGGUGACGACUCACGUGAUGAAAACGAAGAGGAAAGUGAAUCAUGGAAAGGAGAAAUUGACUUCCGGCUAGAUCCUGAGUAAGAAGUUAUGCCCGUUUUAGUGAAGUCUCAUCAGGAAAUGCAUCUUCAUGAGUUGCUAGAUGGGUUUUGGUCAUCAUGACGGCCCGUGAAGCCCCUAUUUGAGUCAUAGUCAGGAUGGCAUUGAUCUUUUUUCCUAUGCACUUUGUACUUACAACGUCGUUUAAUGCUUAGACUAUAUCUUUUCAUUGUGUCUAAGCUUAAUAAACUAGUCAGAAACUACUAAGAACUCUCAUUCUCCUAAAAUCGCCUAGAUUAGAACGAAAAGAAAAAGCAAGAGUCUACAAUUACUCACAAGAACAAGUAGAAGUCUUUUUCAAGUUCAUUCCAAAAACUAAAGGAUUUCUCCUUAGAUUUGGUCACCAAGUAGGUGGGAAUUUCACCAGUGAUUCUUUUAGUCCAUUAGGUCUCUAGAGUUCAGUUAGUUUUUUAAUUCUUCAUAGCAUGCUUAGACCUAGGGUUUUUAAAACUUUGGAGAUUUAUUGUGUUUUAGCUACAAUGGUUUCCAUAAUCUAAUUAGCAUGUUUUAUUGGAAAUUUUCAUAGUUCCAUGUAUAUAAUUCAAAACCUUGGCUUACAUUAAUCAUCAGCACUCAUAAAUUAUACUUGCUAGACAAAUCAGUCAUAAGAUCAUGCUUUAGAAUUUGAAUGCCAUUACCUUUUAGUAUAUUUAUGUGCAUUCCCAGAUGACAUGUAAGUAUUUUGAGCUAUUCAGUACUUUGUUGCAUUUUAGCUUUUCAUUCAAUUGGAAGUAGACUUAGCAUCGAGUUGGACUAGAUCUCAACAUACCCUCACUUGUUUAAAACUACGUGCCAACAUAGGUUCAGAAGUCCCCUCUGUUGGGCACUAGUUUUAGUGAUCACGCCUCAGUCGUAUCUUUAUACCCCUAGUAGGGUAUAUUGGAUCCUCUUGAUGGGGUGUGUACAUCGGACUCCACGUUUAGCUCACGUAAUUUAUGUUGGUUAACAGUAGCUCCCACAACCAGACUUUCAUUGCAUUGACCAUGAAUUUCAAUAUUUAGUGCAUUAUAUUAGCUACUUGAUUAGUACUUGGUCACAGCAUCUAGCUUAGCUUUUCCCUUACAUUUCAGUACAAUCUAUUUUUCAUGCUCAUUAUUAUAUUGCUUUGUUAUAUCAUUGUUCAACUUGGUAUCUAUAUCAUGCAUGCUCAGUACAUAUCAAGUACGGAGGCAUACUUUACACUACAUCGUUUUAUGAUGUAGGUUUAGGCACUCAUCAUCCAGCUCACGCGUAGUUUGACUUCCAGCCUAUAAUUAGCAGCUUCGUGAGUGAAGAAAGAAGAAUGAGAAAGAGAACAGAAGAAACCUGGCAAUCGUCCGAUUCAAUUUCACCGGUGGGUGAGAGAAGGGUCGCCGCUGACGGCAGGAAUCUACAAAAUUACAGAAUCGGAGGGUUUUGCGUUACAGAGAAAGUAGGGAUUUUGAAAAUUGGGGGCAAAUUUUUUCACCGAAACGGACAUAUAUUAAAUGGCGGGAAGGAUAACUGAAAAUUGGCUGCAAAUGAGUUUAUUUUUAAUUAUUUAGUUCAAAGUUAUUUAAUCGACCAGAAUAUUGCUCAUUUUUUUUCUUUCAGUUGAAACAGUAAUUUAAACAAUAAAAUAAAAGCAAUGUCUAAAAAUAAUCCUGUAAUAUACUGUUGGAUAUAUUAAAUAAGGUCUGAAUCAAAUCGAUUACGAAAAAACA